rnacentral:rRNA from 1 species
UAAGGAAUAUUGGACAAUGGAGGCAACUCUGAUCCAGCCAUGCCGCUUGAAGGAAUAAGGCCCUAUGGGUUGUAAACUUCUUUUAGACGGGACAAAACCCCUUUACGUGUAAAGGGUUGAUGGUACUGUCAGAAUAAGCACCGGCUAACUACGUGCCAGCAGCCGCGGUAAUACGUAGGGUGCGAGCGUUAAUCGGAAUUACUGGGCGUAAAGCGUGCGCAGGCGGCUUUGUAAGACAGAUGUGAAAUCCCCGGGCUCAACCUGGGAACUGCAUUUGUGACUGCAAGGCUAGAGUGCGUCAGAGGGAGGUGGAAUUCCGCGUGUAGCAGUGAAAUGCGUAGAGAUGCGGAGGAACACCGAUGGCGAAGGCAGCCUCCUGGGAUGACACUGACGCUCAUGCACGAAAGCGUGGGGAGCAAACA